rnacentral:lncRNA from 1 species
AACGACUCAGGCAGACUCAUGAAGAAACCUUUAGCUGAAGCAGACACAAGGGAGGGGACGCUCUGCUAAAGCGAGCCCGUGAAAGGACACGUGAUGAAGGAUUCUUUGCUAAGGACAAGCAUGUAUCAGUCUGCCUUACAUUAUGUAGUUGAGCUGCAUUUGUUGGGAUUCCACAGAGAGAAACACACCAAAAACUUCUGGUGGUGUCCUGCAGUUUCUUGCUGCUUCCAUGGGCUUGGACCGAUUGACAGAGCGAUGUCAGCUGAGACAGUCGCAUGUGCUGAGGCAAGACACAUGGAGGAUACUUGAUGUUUGGAGAGAGCAUCAAAGGUCUCGACAGGUAGUGACA